rnacentral:rRNA from 1 species
ACGAACGCUGGCGGCGUGCCUAAUACAUGCAAGUUGAGCGCUGAAGGUUGGUACUUGUACCAACUGGAUGAGCAGCGAACGGGUGAGUAACGCGUGGGGAAUCUGCCUUUGAGCGGGGGACAACAUUUGGAAACGAAUGCUAAUACCGCAUAAAAACUUUAAACACAAGUUUUAAGUUUGAAAGAUGCAAUUGCAUCACUCAAAGAUGAUCCCGCGUUGUUUUAGCUAGUUGGUGAGGUAAAGGCUCACCAAGGCGAUGAUACAUAGCCGACCUGAGAGGGUGAUCGGCCACAUUGGGACUGAGACACGGCCCAAACUCCUACGGGAGGCAGCAGUAGGGAAUCUUCGGCAAUGGACGAAAGUCUGACCGAGCAACGCCGCGUGAGUGAAGAAGGUUUUCGGAUCGUAAAACUCUGUUGGUAGAGAAGAACGUUGGUGAGAGUGGAAAGCUCAUCAAGUGACGGUAACUACCCAGAAAGGGACGGCUAACUACGUG